rfam:Microgenomates (Woesebacteria) bacterium GW2011_GWC2_31_9 TR21_C0004, whole genome shotgun sequence.
GGGCGCUUGGUCCAGUGGUAGGGCGCUUCGUUCACAUCGAAGAGGUCGUAGGUCCGAUUCCUACAGCGCCCA